AUUGAACGCUGGCGGCAGGCCUAACACAUGCAAGUCGAGCGAGCGGCGGACGGGUGAGUACUGUCUGGGAAACUGCCUGAUGGAGGGGGAUAACUACUGGAAACGGUAGCUAAUACCGCAUACCAUCAGAUGUGCCCAGAUGGGAUUAGCUAGUCGGUGGGGUAACGGCUGACCUAGGCGACGAUCCCUAGCUGGUCUGAGAGGAUGACCAGCCACAAUGGAACUGAGCCACGGACCAGACUACUACGGGAGGCAGCAGUGGGGAAUAUUGAACAAUGGGCGCAAGCCUGAUGCAGCCAUGCCGCGUGUGUGAAGAAGGCCUUCGGGUUGUAAAGCACUUUCAGCGGGGAGGCGUUACCCGCAGAAGAAGCACCGGCUAACUCCGGGCCAGCAGCCGCGGUAAUAC
rnacentral:rRNA from 1 species